UACAGAGGUCUCAAGCGUUGUUCGGAUUCAUUGGGCGUAAAGGGUGCGUAGGUGGCGCGCUAAGUCGGGUGUGAAAUCUCGGAGCUUAACUCCGAAAUUGCAUUCGAUACUGGCGUGCUUGAGGACUGGAGAGGAGACUGGAAUUCAUGGUGUAGCAGUGAAAUGCGUAGAGAUCAUGAGGAAGACCAGUGGCGAAGGCGGGUCUCUGGACAGUUCCUGACACUGAGGCACGAAGGCCAGGGGGAGCAAAACGGGG
rnacentral:rRNA from 1 species